UCCUAGAAAGUCAACAAGCACAAGCCCGUUCCCCUGGACCUCUCAUAGUGUCCCAUGUCAGAGCAAACUGGGGCCCCAAACCAUAGCCCGGCCUCUGCCCAUAGGUGGUUGGCACUGAAGUGGGUGCACAGUA